GAUGAACGCUGGCGGCGUGCUUAACACAUGCAAGUCACGGGGGCCAGCAAUGGCAACCGGCGAACGGGUGCGUAACACGUGAGCAACCUACCGAAAUGAGGGGGAUAGCCGUCCCAACGGACGGGUAAUACCGCAUACGCUCGAGACCAGGCAUUUGGACUCGAGGAAACCUCCGGGGCAUUUCGAGGGGCUCGCGGCCUAUCAGCUAGUUGGCGAGGUAACGGCUCACCAAGGCGACGACGGGUAGCUGGUCUGAGAGGAUGGCCAGCCACAUUGGGACUGAGAUACGGCCCAGACUCCUACGGGAGGCAGCAGUGGGGAAUCUUGCGCAAUGGGCGAAAGCCUGACGCAGCCAUGCCGCGUGAAUGAUGAAGGUCUUAGGAUUGUAAAAUUCUUUCACCGGGGAAGAUAAUGACGGUACCCGGAGAAGAAGCCCCGGCUAACUUCGUGCCAGCAGCCGC
rnacentral:rRNA from 1 species